GACGGGUGAGUAACGCGUGGGAACGUGCCCUUUGCUACGGAAUAGUCCCGGGAAACUGGGUUUAAUACCGUAUGUGCCCUUCGGGGGAAAGAUUUAUCGGCAAAGGAUCGGCCCGCGUUGGAUUAGGUAGUUGGUGGGGUAAUGGCCUACCAAGCCGACGAUCCAUAGCUGGUUUGAGAGGAUGAUCAGCCACACUGGGACUGAGACACGGCCCAGACUCCUACGGGAGGCAGCAGUGGGGAAUCUUAGACAAUGGGGGCAACCCUGAUCUAGCCAUGCCGCGUGAGUGAUGAAGGCCUUAGGGUUGUAAAGCUCUUUCAGCUGGGAAGAUAAUGACGGUACCAGCAGAAGAAGCCCCGGCUAACUCCGUGCCAGCAGCCGCGGUAAUACGGAGGGGGCUAGCGUUGUUCGGAAUUACUGGGCGUAAAGCGCACGUAGGCGGACUGGAAAGUUGGGGGUGAAAUCCCGGGGCUCAACCUCGGAACUGCCUCCAAAACUAUCAGUCUGGAGUUCGAGAGAGGUGAGUGGAAUACCGAGUGUAGAGGUGAAAUUCGUAGAUAUUCGGUGGAACACCAGUGGCGAAGGCGGCUCACUGGCUC
rnacentral:rRNA from 1 species